rnacentral:rRNA from 1 species
CACAUGCAAGUCGAGGGGCGAGCACGGAGUAGCAAUACAACUGGUGGCGACCGGCGCACGGGUGAGUAACGCGUAUGCAACCUACCUAUCAGAGGGGAAGUAACCCGGCGAAAGUCGGACUAAUACCGCAUAAACAGGGGCACCGCAUGGUGAUAUUUGUUAAAGAGAUUCGCUGAUAGAUGGGCAUGCGUUCCAUUAGGUAGUUGGUGAGGUAACGGCUCACCAAGCCGACGAUGGAUAGGGGAACUGAGAGGUUGGUCCCCCACACUGGUACUGAGACACGGACCAGACUCCUACGGGAGGCAGCAGUGAGGAAUAUUGGUCAAUGGGCGGGAGCCUGAACCAGCCAAGUCGCGUGAAGGAAAGAAGGAUCUAUGGUUCGUAAACUUCUUUUGCAGGGGAAUAAAGUGCAGGACGUGUCCUGUUUUGUAUGUACCCUGAGAAUAAGGAUCGGCUAACUCCGUGCCAGCAGCAGC